rnacentral:lncRNA from 1 species
UCGUGGCCAUUACGGUGGCCGCAGGAAGUGGAGCAGGCCUGUCGGCUGAAGCUCGGUUGAGGUAUCUGGCGGAGAUAGGCUGCUAUCCGUCUGAAAGGAGCUCGGAUGUUGCUGGCGAGCCUUCUACCGUUGGGUGCUUUGGGUGCUAAUACUGUAGGCGAGGGCCAUUUGCGGUAGGGGCUCGGUCAGAGGCUUUCCGUAGAAGAAGUUCGGUUUCACGCAGAAUUUGGCAGAGGAUCGACCGGCAGUGGGUGUCGGAUGGCGCUAAAGAGGUUCAUCCGCUAGAGGGGUCCGACUGCUGGAGUCCAUUUGUCGUAGGAGUUCGUUCGAAACCUGUCCGCUACAGAAGUUCGGUCAGGGUCCGAUCUCCAUAGAAGCCAGGAUGGGGUUCAUCUGUCGAGGAAACUCAGUUGAAGCCUGCGGUAGAAGCUUAGAGUCUGGCUUUUGUAGGAG